CUUUUCAAUGAAACGGAGGUAUAUUUUCUUUUAUAUUGUUGACUUUGACCCUGCAGCUUAGCAAAGAACACUUGUGCAACAUUUUCUAGAUCAAUUGAUCACCCCCUCCGAGCAGACUUGCCCUUUUCUCAUCUUUAAAGGGAAACCAGGCCCAUCGACAUAAUCCCCCAUUCUGCUUUGUUUCUCUCCAGGUCUUCAGGCUGUAGAUUCUGAAAUAUGAAUGAAGGGAUGUGAAAGUGAUGGGCUCUGUCCUUACACCCAGCCCCAGUGGGAGCUUGGGCAGGGAGUGGGAGGAUGAGAAACGUCUUCAUUUUACACAACAAAGUGCUUCUCCAAGGGCUCGUAAAAGGCGCCUGCAAAAACCUCUGCCUUCCUGUGCCUCCCAGCCCCGAGGUUCUCAGGCUCAUCUGGCUCAACUGCGCUUUCUCCAGCGAUAACUCAGGAGCCCCAUUCAACCCGCGGAGUGGCAGGUAUAGGGUGUCACCCCUCAGAGCCCUGAGGAUGAGGGUGAGCGUCCAGGCAGCAGCCAAGCCCCCAAGGCUGGCCCACUGA
rnacentral:lncRNA from 1 species